rnacentral:rRNA from 1 species
UACGUAGGGUGCGAGCGUUGUCCGGAAUCAUUGGGCGUAAAGCGCGUGUAGGCGGUCCGGUAAGUCCGCUGUGAAAGUCGGGGGCUCAACCCUCGAAUGCCGGUGGAUACUGUCGGGCUAGAGUGCGGAAGAGGCGGGUGGAAUUCCUGGUGUAGCGGUGAAAUGCGCAGAUAUCAGGAGGAACACCAAUUGCGAAGGCAGCUCGCUGGGACGUUACUGACGCUGAGACGCGAAAGCGUGGGGAGCAAACAGG